ACUCCUACGGGAGGCAGCAGUGGGGAAUAUUGCACAAUGGGCGCAAGCCUGAUGCAGCCAUGCCGCGUGUGUGAAGAAGGCCUUCGGGUUGUAAAGCACUUUCAGUCGUGAGGAAGGUGGUAGUGUUAAUAGCACUAUCAUUUGUACGUUAGCGACAGAAGAAGCACCGGCUAACUCCGUGCCAGCAGCCGCGGUAAGUACGGAGGGUGCGAGCGUUAAUCGGUAAUUACGUGGGCGUAAAGCGCAUGCAGGUGGUUUGUUAAGUCAGAUGUGAAAGCCCGGGGCUCAACCUCGGAAUAGCAUUUGAAACUGGCAGACUAGAGUACUGUAGAGGGGGUAGAAUUUCAGGUGUAGCGGUGAAAUGCGUAGAGAUCUGAAGGAAUACCGGUGGCGAAGGCGGCCCCUGGACAGAUACUGACACUCAGAUGCGAAAGCGUGGGAGCAAACAGGAUUAGAU
rnacentral:rRNA from 1 species